rnacentral:rRNA from 1 species
AGAACGAACGCUGGCGGCAUGCCUAACACAUGCAAGUCGAACGAGACCUUCGGGUCUAGUGGCGCACGGGUGCGUAACGCGUGGGAAUCUGCCCUUAGGUACGGAAUAACAGUGAGAAAUUACUGCUAAUACCGUAUGAUGUCUUCGGACCAAAGAUUUAUCGCCUAGGGAUGAGCCCGCGUUGGAUUAGCUAGUUGGUGGGGUAAAGGCCUACCAAGGCGACGAUCCAUAGCUGGUCUGAGAGGAUGAUCAGCCACACUGGGACUGAGACACGGCCCAGACUCCUACGGGAGGCAGCAGUGGGGAAUAUUGGACAAUGGGCGAAAGCCUGAUCCAGCAAUGCCGCGUGAGUGAAGAAGGCCUUAGGGUUGUAAAGCUCUUUUACCCGGGAGAUAAUGACUGUACCGGGAGAAUAAGCCCGGCUAACUCCGUGCCAGCAGCCGC